rnacentral:rRNA from 1 species
AGAGUUUGAUCAUGGCUCAGGAUGAACGCUGGCGGCGUGCCUAAUACAUGCAAGUCGAGCGCGACUGAUUACACCGUCCUUUUGGACACCGUAAUCAUCGAGCGGCGGACGGGUGAGUAACACGUGGGCAACCUACCCUUAAGACUGGGAUAACCGCGGGAAACCGUGGCUAAUACCGGAUAAUACUUUUAUACAACGGUAUAAAAGUUGAAAGAUGGAUUUCUAUCACUUAAGGAUGGGCCUGCGGCGCAUUAGUUGGUUGGUAAGGUAACGGCUUACCAAGGCGACGAUGCGUAGCCGACCUGAGAGGGUGAUCGGCCACACUGGAACUGAGACACGGUCCAGACUCCUACGGGAGGCAGCAGUAGGGAAUCUUCCGCAAUGGGCGAAAGCCUGACGGAGCAACGCCGCGUGUGCGAAGAAGGUCUUCGGAUCGUAAAGCACUGUUGUUAAGGAAGAACGACAGUAAGAGUAACUGCUUACUGUGUGACGGUACUUAACCAGAAAGCCACGGCUAACUACGUGCCAGCAGCCGCGGUAAUACGUAGGUGGCAAGCGUUAUCCGGAAUUAUUGGGCGUAAAGCGCGCGUAGGCGGCGAGAUUAGUCUGAUGUGAAAGCCCCCGGCUCAACCGGGGAAGGUCAUUGGAAACUGUUUCGCUUGAGUGCAGAAGAGGAGAGUGGAAUUCCAUGUGUAGCGGUGAAUGCGCAGAGAUAU